rnacentral:lncRNA from 1 species
AGUCCAUAUAUAACUUUACCCCAACUUGAAAAUUUCGAAUCCAAAUUGGAUCCAGGCCAAAUAUAGCCAACUAUGUUGUAAUGACCACAUAACCUACUCUAUUAAUUACACAAAAUAGAUAAUAAAUAAUAUUACACUUAAAUCAAAUUAGGAUAUAAAAAUAAUUUUAAACCUAUUUUUAUAUUAAAGGCAUUGCUCAUAUAAGUUUUAAAUCAUAAUUUAUAGGCACAAAU